GGGAUUAGUGGCGAACGGGUGAGUAACACGUGAGUAACCUGCCCUUAACUCUGGGAUAAGCCUUGGAAACGGGGUCUAAUACUGGAUAUUGACUUUUCCUCGCAUGGGGAUUGGUUGAAAGAUUUAUUGGUUUUGGAUGGACUCGCGGCCUAUCAGCUUGUUGGUGAGGUAAUGGCUCACCAAGGCGACGACGGGUAGCCGGCCUGAGAGGGUGACCGGCCACACUGGGACUGAGACACGGCCCAGACUCCUACGGGAGGCAGCAGUGGGGAAUAUUGCACAAUGGGCGAAAGCCUGAUGCAGCGACGCCGCGUGAGGGAUGACGGCCUUCGGGUUGUAAACCUCUUUCAGUAGGGAACAAGGCCAGUGUUUAGCUGGUUGAGGGUACUUGCAGAAGAAGCGCCGGCUAACUACGUGCCAGCAGCCGCGGUAAUACGUAGGGCGCAAGCGUUAUCCGGAAUUAUUGGGCGUAAAGAGCUCGUAGGCGGUUUGUCGCGUCUGCCGUGAAAGUCCGGGGCUCAACCCCGGAUCUGCGGUGGGUACGGGCAGACUAGAGUGAUGUAGGGGAGACUGGAAUUCCUGGUGUAGCGGUGAAAUGCGCAGAUAUCAGGAGGAACACCGAUGGCGAAGGCAGGUCUCUGGGCAUUAACUGACGCUGAGGAGCGAAAGCAUGGGGAGCGAACAGGAUUAGAUACCCUGGUAGUCCAUGCCGUAAACGUUGGGCACUAGGUGUGGGGGACAUUCCACGUUUUCCGCGCCGUAGCUAACGCAUUAAGUGCCCCGCCUGGGGAGUACGGCCGCAAGGCUAAAACUCAAAGGAAUUGACGGGGGCCCGCACAAGCGGCGGAGCAUGCGGAUUAAUUCGAUGCAACGCGAAGAACCUUACCAAGGCUUGACAUGAACUGGAAAUACCUGGAAACAGGUGCCCCGCUUGCGGUCGGUUUACAGGUGGUGCAUGGUUGUCGUCAGCUCGUGUCGUGAGAUGUUUGGGUUAAGUCCCGCAACGAGCGCAACCCUCGUUCAUGUUGCAGCACGUAAUGGUGGGGACUC
rnacentral:rRNA from 1 species